rnacentral:rRNA from 1 species
GAUGAACGCUGGCGGCGUGCCUAAUACAUGCAAGUCGAGCGAACGGACGAGAAGCCUGCUUCUCUGAUGUUAGCGGCGGACGGGUGAGUAACACGUGGAUAACCUACCUAUAAGACUGGGAUAACUUCGGGAAACCGGAGCUAAUACCGGAUAAUAUUUUGAACCGCAUGGUUCAAAAGUGAAAGACGGUCUUGCUGUCACUUAUAGAUGGAUCCGCGCUGCAUUAGCUAGUUGGUAAGGUAACGGCUUACCAAGGCAACGAUGCAUAGCCGACCUGAGAGGGUGAUCGGCCACACUGGAACUGAGACACGGUCCAGACUCCUACGGGAGGCAGCAGUAGGGAAUCUUCCGCAAUGGGCGAAAGCCUGACGGAGCAACGCCGCGUGAGUGAUAAAGGUCUUCGGAUCGUAAAACUCUGUUAUUAGGGAAGAACAUAUGUGUAAGUAACUGUGCACAUCUUGACGGUACCUAAUCAGAAAGCCACGGCUAACUACGUG